AGAGAAAACACUUUGUGCUGGAUUUAACAGCACACAACUGAAGCAACAAAUGUCGAUUGGCAAUUCCUAUGAAUCCCUUUGCAAUUUCAACAUCUCUGAAUAUGCCUGUUCCUCAACAACUCUUCCGUCAGCGGACAUGGUGACGAUCCUGAAAUGCCAAUUGUCGAGCAAAAAGACUUACUCAACAGAAAUGUGGAAGCUGUUCUCCAAACAAUGCUGCUGUUCUGGACCAGGCUCUUCUGAAUUACUCCAGCAUGAACCCCAACAUCAGCAGUCCAGCAUGCCACAGGUCCUUGAUGCCAUUGGAGAUGUCAAAAUCAACAACUUCAUUAAUGCACAGCGACCGACGCCAGUUUCGUGGACAAGUUGUUCCAGAAGAUGCUCCGUCCAUUCUUGGCAUCUCCAUCUAGGAAUUUCCUCUCCUGUCUCAGCUCAAAGAACUUCAGUUGUCAGACCUACCAAAUUGUCAUUGAUGCUCUAAGCAGCCAAUCAGCCUCCAUGGACAGAGAGCAACAAAAGUGAUCUUCACUCAUUACAUCUAUCCAUUCCUUUCAAGAAAUGACUCAUCAGAUCCCGGCUGUGUCUCAAACACCAGUGGAAGCAUGGACUGGCUCCAGAGGAACGUUGGCACUUUUCUGUUUUUGCAGAACUGCAGGAGUUACAAGUCCUCAAUCCCGACUUC